CCUACGGGUGGCAGUAGUGAGGAAUAUUGGUCAAUGGACGAGAGUCUGAACCAGCCAAGUAGCGUGAAGGAUGACUGCCCUAUGGGUUGUAAACUUCUUUUAUAUGGGAAUAAAAUGUUCCACGUGUGGGAUUUUGUAUGUACCAUAUGAAUAAGGAUCGGCUAACUCCGUGCCAGCAGCCGCGGUAAUACGGAGGAUCCGAGCGUUAUCCGGAUUUAUUGGGUUUAAAGGGAGCGUAGGUGGAUUGUUAAGUCAGUUGUGAAAGUUUGCGACUCAACCGUAAAAUUGCAGUUGAAACUGGCAGUCUUGAGUACAGUAGAGGUGGGCGGAAUUCGUGGUGUAGCGGUGAAAUGCUUAGAUAUCACGAAGAACUCCGAUUGCGAAGGCAGUUCACUGGACUGCAACUGACACUGAGGCUCGAAAGUGUGGGUAUCAAACAGGAUUAGAUACCCCUGUAGUC
rnacentral:rRNA from 1 species